AGGAUGAGCGAUGGUGACGGGCUGCCUUCGGUGCUGGUGCAGCUCCGAUGACCUUGAGCAGGAAGAUGUGGCGAUGCAGCUCUGAGCUCUCUGCUGCUGCUCUGUGGGCUCUCCCCACCCACCUCCUGCACCCAGGGCCUUGUAAAGUCUGGUUUCCGGGGCUUGGGAAAUUUGCUCUGCCCGGUGCCUCUGGAUGUCUGUGUCUGGGGCUCAGGCCGGAAGUCCCUCUUCUAGUGGGGCAGUCAAGCCUCUUCUGGGGCAGGGAGGGCCUUGAUGGUGAAGAAAGUCCUGGAAGCCCCUUCGGGAGGGCCCGCCGGUUCUUCAGAGUGUCGUCAGGUUCAUCAUGUUUAUUCAGCUACGCUCGCUUUUCCUUCUGCCUGUGACUCCCCCUCUGUCACAGGGGGACGCCUCCACAGUGGGUCCUCGAAGGGAACCCAUCCUCAGGGACACCCGAGGGCCCAGCCUGCCAGAAUCCGGCUUGGCAAAGUUUCCACUUUUUGGUGCCUGCUUUUGUGGCUGACCCCUAAUGAGGAAAAUCUGGACACAGAGACAGCCAUACAGGAAAGAAGGCCCUGUGAUGACGAAGGCAAAGACUGGAGAGACACAGUCACAUGCUGAGCAACGCCACGGAUCGCCAGCAAUGCCCAGAAGCCGGAAGAGGCACGGAAGGAUUCUUCCCAGGCACUUUGGAGGGAGCAUGGUGGUACUGCCAACACUUGAUUUCAGACUCACAGCCUCCAGAACUGCGAGAGGGUCCCGUGCUGGUGUUUUAAGCCCCCGGUUUACAGUCGUUCGUUACAGCAGCCACGGGAGACCGAUACGGCCACAUUCUGAGAACGGACUGUUAAACGAUUGAUUAAUAAUUAAGAGAAAUGACCUUCCUUCGCGUAUUGGUGAGCAUUUUGAUAUUCAUAACAUUUCUUUCUUGCAGUUAGCAUCCUGGGUGAACCCUUCUGAGGCCAUAAGGUAAAAACGUAAGAUUCUGACCCAAACCGUGGAGUCUUCAUAAUAUUAAGUGUAUUUUAUCUUAAAAAAAUUAGAAAACUACCAACCUUUGCAUGAAAAAUAGAUUUUUGUUGAUGUAUAGUUUUGUUUCCAAUAAAUUUGACGAAAUCAGGCAGUGGGA